UACAGAGGUGGCAAGCGUUGUUCGGAAUUACUGGGCGUAAAGGGCGCGUAGGCGGCUUGGUCAGUCCCGUGUGAAAUCCCUCGGCUCAACUGAGGAACUGCACGGGAAACUGCCUGGCUUGAGUUCGGGAGAGGGAAGCGGAAUUCCGGGUGUAGCGGUGAAAUGCGUAGAUAUCCGGAGGAACACCGGUGGCGAAGGCGGCUUCCUGGACCGACACUGACGCUGAGGAGCGAAAGCGUGGGGAGCAAACAGG
rnacentral:rRNA from 1 species